CAAUUUCAUAACAGUCUAUGUCCUGAAAGACAACGUGAAUAAAGCACUGACCCUAGGGGAAAGUGGAAAGAGGAGAAAGAAUGGCCUAUUGAAAGAGUGCGGCUAUGGAGGAGUUUUGUUUGUUAUAUUAAUAUCUCUGUUCAGCGCUGAUUGAAAGCAGGAGGUGCAGAGGUGUGUGGAAGCAGCCUACCUGUUACGGUCACAAGGAAGAAAACCUCCAAGUGGAAGUCCUUGAUCCAGAUGGUGCUGUAUGCUGAAACAGAGAGCAGUCUCCCUGUCAAAUCAACGAGAAAUCACGCCGAAUGCUGGAUACACAGGUGCCUGUACCCUCAGGCCACUGGUCCAAAUCCAGCUCAGCAUCCAGUCCUGCUCAGCUCCGAAGGCUGUAACUAAGUGACGGGUGUCUGGUGGCCUGGGCUUAAUGAGGAAGCUGUACCAGCCCUAUUUGAGUGGAAAGGUGCUGAAAUGCCUCCUAACUGAUACCUUUCUACCGCAGAAAUACACAGUGCUUAAAUGCCUCUGGAGAGUAAAACGUUGUUUUAAACCCAAAAC
rnacentral:lncRNA from 1 species